rnacentral:rRNA from 1 species
ACGGGAGGCAGCAGUGGGGAAUAUUGCACAAUGGGGGAAACCCUGAUGCAGCGACGCCGCGUGGGUGAAGAAGUAUUUCGGUACGUAAAGCCCUAUCAGCAGGGAAGAUAGUGACGGUACCUGACUAAGAAGCCCCGGCUAACUACGUGCCAGCAGCCGCGGUAAUACGUAGGGGGCAAGCGUUAUCCGGAUUUACUGGGUGUAAAGGGAGCGUAGACGGAGUAGCAAGUCUGAUGUGAAAGGCAUGGGCUCAACCUGUGGACUGCAUUGGAAACUGUUAUUCUUGAGUGCCGGAGGGGUAAGCGGAAUUCCUAGUGUAGCGGUGAAAUGCGUAGAUAUUAGGAGGAACACCAGUGGCGAAGGCGGCUUACUGGACGGUAACUGACGUUGAGGCUCGAAAGCGUGGGGAGCAAACAGGAUUAGAUACCCUGGUA